rnacentral:tRNA from 1 species
AAUACCAAAUAUAAACAAAUUUUAAAUUUUCAAAAAUUGGGGAAUGCAGAUUUUGCCCGGUAUUG